rnacentral:tRNA from 1 species
UGCGGGGUGGAGCAGAGGCAGCUCGCAAGGCUCAUAACCUUGAGGCCGGUGGUUCGAAUCCACCCCCCGCAACCA